AGUUAUCACAUUUAUCGAUAAGAUUUCUAUAUUCAUCGAUAAUAUAACGGUGUUUACAGUCUUCUUAUUUUUACUGAAAAUGAUAAAAUAAGCCGUACAAUAAUUUCUAAUGCCGUGAGUAGAUAUGGGUCAACUUUUAAUGUUCAAUACUGGCGCUCGGAGCUACCUGGCACGUCGUCCGUGGCCUAGUGCCUAUAAGUGUUAUCAAGGCCAUUGUCGUCCUAAAAGAAAAUUUGUUGUCCACUUUUCACCCAAUGAAAAAGAACAAAACAAAACAAAAAAUAUAAAUUUUUUUCAGCUUAGUUCGCAGUUAUGUUUAGUCAUCUGAGAAUUUAAACGUAACAACUUACUGAAAAUAUUCAACGAUCAGUCGUAAAACUUGGAAUUUAUCAAUUUUAUGAUUUGCAAUAUUGUAACUUACCUAAAGUAAAUAUUGAAACCUACGGUUAAUUAGUCGAUGGUUUUUCUAAUCGGAAUUUCAUAAUCUCCGCGGAUUUUUUUGCAUGGUUCAACAUUGUAUCCAUGAUUACUACGAUUAUUCCUAUUAAGGUCCUUGGGCAUAGUAUUCAAAGUGCAAUAUGUCCAUGUUACUUUUCUGUAAUCUGUGAAACCAUAGAUCUCUAACUAAUAACUUUAAAAAACUUGAUGUACAAUUCAUGCGUAAAUAACUAUAUAAUUUUGAACGCGAAUUUAAUUCAUGUGUUUUGAAUAGUUUUUAAAACAUAAGUCCCCUGAUAAAACGUUAAAUCUUAAUGGCAUUUCUUAUUCUGAAUGCAUAUAUACUAGAAAUAAUGCUUUUGAACCUUUAAAGUUACAAAAGGAUGCUUUAUUUAUUUCAAUGUAAAAGUAAACCGCUUCAAAUUUCUGUUAACAAAUAAUCUUUUGGCCCUUCUGUAAAGAGAUAUGUCAGAGAUUGUAAUGUCUUAUUUGUUAUGUUGGAGUUUGUCGCCUUUGAGAUGUCCGAUAUUUCUUAUGCUUGAGAUUGUGUUCGUGGCAUUGAAGAGUUUAAAGAGUAUGUUUCUGCUGGAUAAUACGUAUGCGAAUUUUAUUCGAGUUUGUGGUACCGUAAAUGUGAUGAACGGUUCUUAGUAGUUUGCACACAUAGUGUUUAACCUAAAUCUGUUUCACGUUUCCCCAAAGGGUGAGCAACAAUAUUGGGCCUCACUUAACUUUUCUCGAAUGAUUCAAUGUGGAAAACAUCCUAGAAUUAUGGAUAUCCACAGUUGAAAUGAUUCAUUUUUAAGUUAUUAAAUUUAUCGAUAAGAUUUCUAUAUUCUUCGAAAAUAUAACGGUGUUUACAGUCUUCUUAUUUUUACUGAAAAUGAUAUAAUAAGCCGUACAAUAAUUUCUAAUGCCGUGAGUAGAUAUGGGUCAACUUUUAAUGUUCAAUACUGGCGCUCGGAGCUACCUGGCACGUCGUCCGUGGCCUAGUGCCUAUAAGUGUUAUCAAGGCCAUUGUCGUCCUUAAAGCAAAUUUGUUGUCCACUAUUCACCCAAUGAAAAACAAAUAAACAAAACAACAAAUAUACAUUUUUUUCGGCUGGUUUCGCAGUUAUGUUUGGUCAUCUGAGAAUUUAAACGUAACAACUUAUUGAAAAUAUUCAACGAUCUGUCGUAAAACUUGGAAUUUAUAAAUUGUAAGAUUUGCAAUAUUGUAACUUACCUUAAGUAAAUAUUGAAACCUACGGUUAAUUAGUCGAUGGUUUUUCUAAUCGGAAUUUCAUAAUCUCCGCGGAUUUUUUUGCAUGGUUCAACAUUGUAUCCAUGAUUACUACGAUUAUUCCUAUUAAGGUCCUUGGGCAUAGUAUUCAAAGUGCAAUAUGUCCAUGUUACUUUUCUGUAAUCUGUGAAACCAUAGAUCUCUAACUAAUAACUUUAAAAAACUUGAUGUACAAUUCAUGCGUAUAUAACUAUAUAAUUUCGAACGCGAAUUUAAUUCAUGUGUUUUGAAUAGUUUUUAAAACAUAAGUCCCCUGAUAAAACGUUAAAUCUUAAUGGCAUUUCUUAUUCUGAAUGCAUAUAUACUAGAAAUAAUGCUUUUGAACCUUUAAAGUUACAAAAGGAUGCUUUAUUUAUUUCAAUGUAAAAGUAAACCGCUUCAAAUUUCUGUUAACAAAUAAUCUUUUGGCCCUUCUGUAAAGAGAUAUGUCAGAGAUUGUAAUGUCUUAUUUGUUAUGUUGGAGUUUGUCGCCUUUGAGAUGUCCGAUAUUUCUUAUGCUUGAGAUUGUGUUCGUGGCAUUGAAGAGUUUAAAGAGUAUGUUUCUGCUGGAUAAUACGUAUGCGAAUUUUAUUCGAGUUUGUGGUACCGUAAAUGUGAUGAACGGUUCUUAGUAGUUUGCACACAUAGUGUUUAACCUAAAUCUGUUUCACGUUUCCCCAAAGGGUGAGCAACAAUAUUGGGCCUCACUUAACUUUUCUCGAAUGAUUCAAUGUGGAAAACAUCCUAGAAUUAUGGAUAUCCACAGUUGAAAUGAUUCUUUUUUAAGUUAUUAAAUUUAUCGAUAAGAUUUCUAUAUUCUUCGAAAAUAUAACGGUGUUUACAGUCUUCUUAUUUUUACUGAAAAUGAUAUAAUAAGCCGUACAAAAAUUUCUAAUGCCGUGAGUAGAUAUGGGUCAACUUUUAAUGUUCAAUACUGGCGCUCGGAGCUACCUGGCACGUCGUCCGUGGCCUAGUGCCUAUAAGUGUUAUCAAGGCCAUUGUCGUCCUUAAAGCAAAUUUGUUGUCCACUAUUCACCCAAUGAAAAACAAAUAAACAAAACAACAAAUAUACAUUUUUUUCGGCUGGUUUCGCAGUUAUGUUUGGUCAUCUGAGAAUUUAAACGUAACAACUUAUUGAAAAUAUUCAACGAUCUGUCGUAAAACUUGGAAUUUAUCAAUUUUAUGAUUUGCAAUAUUGUAACUUACCUUAAGUAAAUAUUGAAACCUACGGUUAAUUAGUCGAUGGUUUUUCUAAUCGGAAUUUCAUAAUCUCCGCGGAUUUUUUUGCAUGGUUCAACAUUGUAUCCAUGANCUGAGAAUUUAAACGUAACAACUUACUGAAAAUAUUCAACGAUCAGUCGUAAAACUUGGAAUUUAUCAAUUUUAUGAUUUGCAAUAUUGUAACUUACCUAAAGUAAAUAUUGAAACCUACGGUUAAUUAGUCGAUGGUUUUUCUAAUCGGAAUUUCAUAAUCUCCGCGGAUUUUUUUGCAUGGUUCAACAUUGUAUCCAUGAUUACUACGAUUAUUCUGAUUAUGGUCUUUUGGCAUAGUAUUCCAAGUGCUCUAUGUCCAUGUUCCUUUCCUAUAAUCUAUGAAUCCAUAGAUAUCUAACUAAUAACUUUAAAAAACUUGAUGUACAAUUCAUGCGUAUAUAACUAUAUAAUUUCGAACGCGAAUUUAAUUCAUGUGUUUUGAAUAGUUUUUAAAACAUAAGUCCCCUGAUAAAACGUUAAAUCUUAAUGGCAUUUCUUAUUCUGAAUGCAUAUAUACUAGAAAUAAUGCUUUUGAACCUUUAAAGUUACAAAAGGAUGCUUUAUUUAUUUCAAUGUAAAAGUAAACCGCUUCAAAUUUCUGUUAACAAAUAAUCUUUUGGCCCUUCUGUAAAGAGAUAUGUCAGAGAUUGUAAUGUCUUAUUUGUUAUGUUGGAGUUUGUCGCCUUUGAGAUGUCCGAUAUUUCUUAUGCUUGAGAUUGUGUUCGUGGCAUUGAAGAGUUUAAAGAGUAUGUUUCUGCUGGAUAAUACGUAUGCGAAUUUUAUUCGAGUUUGAGGUACUGAAACUGUGAUGAACGGUUCUUAGUAGUUUUCACGCAUAGUGUUUAACCUAAAUCUGAUUCACGUUUCCCCAAAGGGUGAGCAACAAUAUUGGUUCUCACCUAACUUUUCGCGAAUGAUUCAAUGUGGAAAACAUCCUAGAAUUAUGGAUAUCCACAGUUGAAAUGAUUCUUUUUUAAGUUAUUAAAUUUAUCGAUAAGAUUUCUAUAUUCUUCGAAAAUAUAACGGUGUUUACAGUCUUCUUAUUUUUACUGAAAAUGAUAAAAUAAGCCGUACAAUAAUUUCUAAUGCCGUGAGUAGAUAUGGGUCAACUUUUAAUGUUCAAUACUGGCGCUCGGAGCUACCUGGCACGUCGUCCGUGGCCUAGUGCCUAUAAGUGUUAUCAAGGCCAUUGUCGUCCUUAAAGCAAAUUUGUUGUCCACUAUUCACCCAAUGAAAAACAAAUAAACAAAACAACAAAUAUACAUUUUUUUCGGCUGGUUUCGCAGUUAUGUUUGGUCAUCUGAGAAUUUAAACGUAACAACUUAUUGAAAAUAUUCAACGAUCUGUCGUAAAACUUGGAAUUUAUAAAUUGUAAGAUUUGCAAUAUUGUAUCUUACCUUAAGUAAAUAUUGAAACAUACGGUUAAUUAGUCGAUGGUUUUUCUAAUCGGAAUUUCAUAAUCUCCGCGGUUUUUUUUGCAUGGUUCAUCUUUUUAUCCAUGAUUACUACGAUUACUCCUAUUAAGGUCCUUGGGCAUAGUAUUCAAAGUGCAAUAUGUCCAUGUUACUUUUCUGUAAUCUGUGAAACCAUAGAUCUCUAACUAAUAACUUUAAAAAACUUGAUGUACAAUUCAUGCGGAAAUAACUUUAUAAUUUUGAACGCGAAUUUAAUUCAUGUGUUUUGAAUAGUUUUUAAAACAUAAGUCCCCUGAUAAAACGUUAAAUCUUAAUAGCAUUUCUGAUUCUGAAUGCAUAAAUACUAGAAAUAAUGCUUUUGAACUUUUGAAGUUACAAAAAACUUGAUGUACAAUUCAUGCGUAUAUAACUAUAUAAUUUCGAACGCGAAUUUAAUUCAUGUGUUUUGAAUAGUUUUUAAAACAUAAGUCCCCUGAUAAAACGUUAAAUCUUAAUAGCAUUUAUUAUUCUGAAUGCAUAAAUACUAGAAAUAAUGCUUUUGAACUUUUGAAGUUACAAAAGGAUGCUAUAUUUUAUUUCAAAGUAAAAGUAAACCGCUUCAAAUUUCUGUUAACAAAUAAUCUUUUGGCCCUUUUGUAACGAGAAAUGUCAGAGAUUGUAAUGUCUUAUUUGUUAUGUUGGAGAUUGUCGCCUUUGAAAAGUCCGAUACUUCUUAUGCUCGAGAUUGUGUUCGUGGCAUUGGAGUGUUUAAAGAGUAUGUUUCUACUGGAUAAUACGUAUGCGAAUUUUAUUCGAGUUUGAGGUACUGAAACUGUGAUGAACGGUUCUUAGUAGUUUUCACGCAUAGUGUUUAACCUAAAUCUGAUUCACGUUUCCCCAAAGGGUGAGCAACAAUAUUGGGCCUCACUUAACUUUUCUCGAAUGAUUCAAUGUGGAAAACAUCCUAGAAUUAUGGAUAUCCACAGUUGAAAUGAUUCUUUUUUAAGUUAUUAAAUUUAUCGAUAAGAUUUCUAUAUUCUUCGAAAAUAUAACGGUGUUUACAGUCUUCUUAUUUUUACUGAAAAUGAUAUAAUAAGCCGUACAAUAAUUUCUAAUGCCGUGAGUAGAUAUGGGUCAACUUUUAAUGUUCAAUACUGGCGCUCGGAGCUACCUGGCACGUCGUCCGUGGCCUAGUGCCUAUAAGUGUUAUCAAGGCCAUUGUCGUCCUUAAAGCAAAUUUGUUGUCCACUAUUCACCCAAUGAAAAACAAAUAAACAAAACAACAAAUAUACAUUUUUUUCGGCUGGUUUCGCAGUUAUGUUUGGUCAUCUGAGAAUUUAAACGUAACAACUUAUUGAAAAUAUUCAACGAUCUGUCGUAAAACUUGGAAUUUAUAAAUUGUAAGAUUUGCAAUAUUGUAACUUACUUUAAGUAAAUAUUGAAACCUACGGUUAAUUAGUCGAUGGUUUUUCUAAUCGGAAUUUCAUAAUCUCCGCGGUUUUUUUUGCAUGGUUCAACUUUUUAUCCAUGAUUACUACGAUUAUUCCUAUUAAGGUCCUUGGGCAUAGUAUUCAAAGUGCAAUAUGUCCAUGUUACUUUUCUGUAAUCUGUGAAACCAUAGAUCUCUAACUAAUAACUUUAAAAAACUUGAUGUACAAUUCAUGCGUAUAUAACUAUAUAAUUUCGAACGCGAAUUUAAUUCAUGUGUUUUGAAUAGUUUUUAAAACAUAAGUCCCCUGAUAAAACGUUAAAUCUUCUUGUUUAAGUUAUCACAUUUAUCGAUAAGAUUUCUAUAUUCUUCGAAAAUAUAACGGUGUUUACAGUCUUCUUAUUUUUACUGAAAAUGAUAAAAUAAGCCGUACAAUAAUUUCUAAUGCCGUGAGUAGAUAUGGGUCAACUUUUAAUGUUCAAUACUGGCGCUCGGAGCUACCUGGCACGUGGUCCGUGGCCUGGUGCCUAUAAGUGUUAUCAAGGCCAUUGUCGUCCUAAAAGAAAAUUUGUUGUCCACUUUUCACCCAAUGAAAAAGAACAAAACAAAACAAAAAAUAUAAAUUUUUUUCAGCUUAGUUCGCAGUUAUGUUUAGUCAUCUGAGAAUUUAAACGUAACAACUUACUGAAAAUAUUCAACGAUCAGUCGUAAAACUUGGAAUUUAUCAAUUUUAUGAUUUGCAAUAUUGUAACUUACCUAAAGUAAAUAUUUAAACCUACGGUUAAUUAGUCGAUGGUUUUUCUAAUCGGAAUUUCAUAAUCUCCGCGGAUUUUUUUGCAUGGUUCAACAUUGUAUCCAUGAUUACUACGAUUAUUCCUAUUAAGGUCCUUGGGCAUAGUAUUCAAAGUGCAAUAUGUCCAUGUUACUUUCCUGAUAUCUAUGAACCCAUAGAGAUCUAACUUAUAACAUUAAAAAACUUGAUGUACAAUUCGCGCGUAUAUAACUAUAUAAUUUCGAACGUGAAUUAAAUUCAUGUGUUUUGAAUAGUUUUUAAAACAUAAGUAUUCUGAUAAAACGUAAAACCUAAAUGGCAAUUCUUAUUCUGAAUGCAUAAAUACUAGAAAUAAUGCUUUUUGAACUUUUGAAGUUACAAAACGAAGCUAUAUUUUAUUUCGAAGUAAAAGUAAACCGUUACAAAUUUCUGUUAACAAAUAAUCUUUUGGCCCUUCUGUAAAGAGAAAUGUCAGAGAUUGUAAUGUCUUAUUUGUUAUAUUGGAGUUUGUCGCCUUUGAAAUGUCCGAUAUUUCUUAUGCUCGAGAUUGUGUUCGUGGCAUUGGAGUGUUUAAAGAGUAUGUUUCUACUGGAUAAUACGUAUGCGAAUUUUAUUCGAGUUUGAGGUACUGUAACUGUGAUGAACGGUUCUUAGUAGUUUUCACGCAUAGUGUUUAACCUAAAUCUGAUUCACGUUUCCCCAAAGGGUGAGCAACANUCGCCUUUGAAAAGUCCGAUAUUUCUUAUGCUCGAGAUUGUGUUCGUGGCAUUGGAGUGUUUAAAGAGUAUGUUUCUACUGGAUAAUACGUAUGCGAAUUUUAUACGAGUUUGAGGUACUGUAACUGUGAUGAACGGUUUUUAGUAGUUUUC